AUUGAACGCUGGCGGCAUGCCUUACACAUGCAAGUCGAACGGUAACGGGCCUUCGGGUGCCGACGAGUGGCGCACGGGUGAGUAAUACAUCGGAACGUGCCCGAUCGUGGGGGAUAACGAGGCGAAAGCUUUGCUAAUACCGCAUACGAUCUACGGAUGAAAGCAGGGGACCGCAAGGCCUUGCGCGGACGGAGCGGCCGAUGGCAGAUUAAGUAGUUGGUGGGAUAAAAGCUUACCAAGCCGACGAUCUGUAGCUGGUCUGAGAGGAUGAUCAGCCACACUGGGACUGAGACACGGCCCAGACUCCUACGGGAGGCAGCAGUGGGGAAUUUUGGACAAUGGGCGCAAGCCUGAUCCAGCCAUGCCGCGUGCAGGAUGAAGGCCUUCGGGUUGUAAACUGCUUUUGUACGGAACGAAAAGCCUUCUUUUAAUACAGGAGGGUCAUGACGGUACCGUAAGAAUAAGCACCGGCUAACUACGUG
rnacentral:rRNA from 1 species